rnacentral:rRNA from 1 species
GUAUUGGCCUACCGUGGUGAUGACGGGUAACGGGGAAUUAGGGUUCGAUUCCGGAGAGGGAGCCUGAGAAACGGCUACCACAUCUAAGGAAGGCAGCAGGCGCGCAAAUUACCCAAUCCUAAUACAGGGAGGUAGUGACAAGAAAUAACAAUACAGGACUUUUUGGUUUUGUAAUUGGAAUGAGUUAAGUAUAAACCCCUUUACAAGUAUCAAUUGGAGGGCAAGUCUGGUGCCAGCAGCCGCGGUAAUUCCAGCUCCAAUAGCGUAUAUUAAAGUUGUUGCAGUUAAAAAGUUCGUAGUUGGAUUUCUGUUAAUAAUUUAUAUAAAAUAUUUUGAAUAUUUAUAUAACAUUAACAUAAUUCAUAUUACUAUAUUUUUUAGUAUAUGAAAUUUUACUUUGAGAAAAUUAGAGUGCUUAAAGCAGGCAUAUGCCUUGAAUACUCCAGCAUGGAAUAAUAUUAAAGAUUUUUAUCUUUUUUAUUGGUUCUAAGAUAAGAAUAAUGAUUAAUAGGGACAGUUGGGGGCAUUUGUAUUUAA